rnacentral:rRNA from 1 species
CGGUUGAUCCUGCCGGACCUUACUGCUAUCGGGGUGGGACUAAGACAUGCGAGUCGAGCGUCUCUAGCUAUGUUGAGACGCGGCAUACGGCUCAGUAACACGUGGCUAACCUACCCUCAGGACGGGGACAAACCCGGGAAACUGGGGCUAAUAUCCGAUAGGCGAAGAAUCCUGGAAUGGUUCUUCACUCAAAGGACAUUGGAAACAUGCUUUCUCUGUCGCCUGGGGAUGGGGCCGCGUCCGAUCAGGUUGUUGGUGAGGUAAUGGCUCACCAAGCCUUUAACCGGUACGGGCCGUGAGAGCGGUAGCCCGGAGAUGGGUACUGAGACAAGGACCCAGGCCCUACGGGGCGCAGCAGUCGCGAAAACUCCGCAAUGCACGAAAGUGUGACGGGGCUACCCCGAGUGCCGUCCGCUGAGGAUGGCUUUUCCUUGGUGUAACUAGCCGGGGGAAUAAGGAGAGGGCAAGACUGGUGUCAGCCGCCGCGGUAAUACCAGCUCUCCGAGUGGUAGGGAUGAUUAUUGGGCUUAAAGCGUCCGUAGCCGGCUUAGCAAGUUUCCUGUUAAAUUCAGCGACCUAAUCGUUGAGCCGCGGGAAAUACUACUAGGCUAGGAGGCGGGAGAGGUCGACGGUACUUCUGGGGUAGGGGUGAAAUCCUAUAAUCCCGGGAGGACCACCAGUGGCGAAGGCUGUCGACUAGAACGCGCUCGACGGUGAGGGACGAAAGCUGGGGGAGCGAACCGGAUUAGAUACCCGGGUAGUCCCAGCUGUAAACGAUGCGGGCUAGGUGUUGGGGUGGCUACGUGCCACUUCAGUGCCGCAGGGAGGCCAUUAAGCCCGCCGCCUGGGGAGUACGGCCGCAAGGCUGAAACUUAAAGGAAUUGGUGGGGGAGCACCACAAGGCGUGAAGCUUGCGGUUCAAUUGGAGUCAACGCCGGG